rnacentral:rRNA from 1 species
GACGAACGCUUUCUUCUUUCUUAACACAUGCAAGUCGAACGGAAAGGCCCUGCUUUUGUGGGGUGCUCGAGUGGCGAACGGGUGAGUAACACGUGAGUAACCUGCCCUUGACUUUGGGAUAACUUCAGGAAACUGGGGCUAAUACCGGAUAGGAGCUCCUGCUGCAUGGUGGGGGUUGGAAAGUUUCGGCGGUUGGGGAUGGACACGCGGCUUAUCAGCUUGUUGGUGGGGUAGUGGCUUACCAAGGCCUUGACGGGUAGCCGGCCUGAGAGGGUGACCGGCCACAUUGGGACUGAGAUACGGCCCAGACUCCUACGGGAGGCAGCAGUGGGGAAUAUUGCACAAUGGGCGGAAGCCUGAUGCAGCAACGCCGCGUGCGGGAUGACGGCCUUCGGGUUGUAAACCGCUUUCGCCUGUGACGAAGCGUGAGUGACGGUAAUGGGUAAAGAAGCACCGGCUAACUACGUG